rnacentral:rRNA from 1 species
GGAUGUCCAGCCACACUGGGACUGAGACACGGCCCAAACUCCUACGGGAGGCAGCAGUUAGGAAUCUUGCGCAAUGGGCGAAAGCCUGACGCAGCGACGCCGCGUGCGGGAUGAAGUCCUUCGUGUUGUAAACCGCUUUCAGCAGUGACAAAAUUGACGGUACCUGCAGAAGAAGCCCUGGCCAACUACGUGCCUGCAGCCGCGGUAAUACGUAGGAGGCAAGCGUUGUCCGGAUUUAUUGGGCGUAAAGAGCUCGUAGGUGGUUUGGUAAGUCGGAUGUGAAAUCUACAGGCUCAACCUGGAGGGGUCAUUCGAUACUGCCAUGACUAGAGGUCGGUUGGGGAGUGUGGAAUUCCUGGUGGAGCGGUGAAAUGCGCAGAUUUCAGGAGGAACACCCGUAGCGAAGGCGGCACUCUGGGCCGAUUCUGACACUGAGGAGCGAAACCGUGGGGAGCGAAAAGGAUUAGAUACCCUGGUAGUCCACGCCGUAAACGUUUGGCACUAGGUGUGGGGUUCUAUCGACGGACUCCG